rnacentral:rRNA from 1 species
UACGUAGGGGGCAAGCGUUGUCCGGAAUCAUUGGGCGUAAAGAGCGUGUAGGCGGCCCGAUAAGUCCGCUGUGAAAGUCCAGGGCUCAACCCUGGAAUGCCGGUGGAUACUGUCGGGCUCGAGUACGGAAGAGGCGAGUGGAAUUCCUGGUGUAGCGGUGAAAUGCGCAGAUAUCAGGAGGAACACCAAUUGCGAAGGCAGCUCGCUGGGACGUUACUGACGCUGAGGAGCGAAAGCGUGGGGAGCAAACAGG